UACGUAGGGUGCGAGCGUUAAUCGGAAUUACUGGGCGUAAAGCGUGCGUAGACGGUUAUGUAAGUCGGAUGUGAAAGCCCCGGGCUCAACCUGGGAAUUGCAUUCGAGACUGCAUAGCUAGGAUGCGGAAGAGGGAAGUGGAAUUUCCGGUGUAGCGGUGAAAUGCGUAGAUAUCGGAAGGAACACCAGUGGCGAAGGCGGCUACCUGGCCUAAUACUGACGCUGAGUCACGAAAGCGUGGGGAGCAAACAGG
rnacentral:rRNA from 1 species